GACGAACGCUGGCGGCGUGCUUAACACAUGCAAGUCGAACGGUGAAGGGGCCUGCUUUUGUGGGUCCUGGAUGAGUGGCGAACGGGUGAGUAACACGUGAGUAACCUGCCCCCUUCUUCUGGAUAACCGCAUGAAAGUGUGGCUAAUACGGGAUAUUCUGGGUCUGUCGCAUGGUGGGCCUGGGAAAGAUUGCGCCUUUUUUGGUGUUUUUGGUGGGGGAUGGGCUCGCGGCCUAUCAGCUUGUUGGUGGGGUGAUGGCCUACCAAGGCGGUGACGGGUAGCCGGCCUGAGAGGGUGGACGGUCACACUGGGACUGAGACACGGCCCAGACUCCUACGGGAGGCAGCAGUGGGGAAUAUUGCACAAUGGGCGCAAGCCUGAUGCAGCGACGCCGCGUGAGGGAUGGAGGCCUUCGGGUUGUGAACCUCUUUCGCCAGUGAAGCAGGCCUGCCUCGUUUGUGGGUGGGU
rnacentral:rRNA from 1 species